UACGUAGGGACCAAGCGUUGUUCGGAUUUACUGGGCGUAAAGGGCGCGUAGGCGGCAAUUCAAGUCAUCUGUGAAAUCUCCGAGCUUAACUCGGAACGGUCAGAUGAUACUGCUUUGCUAGAGUGCAGAAGGGGCAACCGGAAUUCUUGGUGUAGCGGUGAAAUGCGUAGAUAUCAAGAGGAACACCGGAGGUGAAGACGGGUUGCUGGGCUGACACUGACGCUGAGGCGCGAAAGCGUGGGGAGCAAACAGG
rnacentral:rRNA from 1 species